UACGUAGGCAGCGAGCGUUGUUCGGAGUUACUGGGCGUAAAGGGUGUGUAGGCGGUUCUCUAAGUUUGGUGUGAAAUCUCCCGGCUCAACCGGGAGGGUGCGCCGAAUACUGAGUGACUCGAGUGCGGGAGAGGAAAGGUGGAAUUCCUGGUGUAGCGGUGAAAUGCGUAGAUAUCAGGAGGAACACCGGUGGUGUAGACGGCUUCUGGACCGUAACUGACGCUGAAACACGAAAGCGUGGGUAGCAAACAGG
rnacentral:rRNA from 1 species